rnacentral:rRNA from 1 species
GACGAACGCUGGCGGCGCGCUUAACACAUGCAAGUCGAACGGAAAGGCCUGCUUUCCCUUGUGGAUUGCGGGUACUCGAGUGGCGAACGGGUGAGUAACACGUGAGUGAUCUGCCCCCAACUUGGGUAUAAGCCUGGGAAACUGGGUCUAAUUCCCGAUAGGACCGCAGGGUGGUGCCUGUGGUGGAAAACGAUUUUCUAGUGGUUGGGGAUGAGCUCGCGGCCUAUCAGCUUGUUGGUGGGGUAAUGGCCUACCAAGGCGGCGACGGGUAGCCGGCCUGAGAGGGUGGACGGCCACAUCGGGACUGAGAUACGGCCCAGACUCCUACGGGAGGCAGCAGUGGGGAAUAUUGCACAAUGGGCGGAAGCCUGAUGCAGCGACGCCGCGUGGGGGAUGACGGCCUUCGGGUUGUAAACUCCUUUCGACCGCGAGGAAGCCACCUGGUUGGAAGGGUGGUGACGGUAGUGGUAGAAGAAGCACCGGCUAACUACGUG